GACGAACCGUGCGAACGUUAUUCGGAAUCACUGGGCUUAAAGCGCGUGUAGGCGGGACGGCACGUCGGUCGCUGAAAUCCCCCGGCUCAACCGGGGAAGUGGCGCCGAAACGACCAUCCUAGAGGGGCGUAGGGGGGGCUGGAACUUCCGGUGGAGCGGUGAAAUGCGUUGAGAUCGGAAGGAACGCCCGUGGCGAAAGCGAGCCCCUGGACGUCAUCUGACGCUGAGACGCGAAAGCCAGGGGAGCGAACGGG
rnacentral:rRNA from 1 species